AGCAGCCGCGGUAAUUCCAGCUCCAAUAGCGUAUAUUAAAGUUGUUGCAGUUAAAAAGCUCGUAGUUGAAUUUCGGGGUCGGUAGGUUGGUCAUGCCUCUGGUAUGCACUGGUCUCACUGAUUCCUCCUUCCUGAUGAGCCGUAAUGCCAUUAAUUUGGUGUUGCGAGGAAUCUGGACUGUUACUUUGAAAAAAUUAGAGUGUUUAAAGCAAGCUAACGCUUGAAUACAUUAGCAUGGAAUAAUGGAAUAGGACGUUCGAUCCUAUUUUGUUGGUUUCUAGGAUUGACGUAAUGAUUAAUAGGGAUAGUUGGGGGCAUUAGUAUUCAAUUGUCAGAGGUGAAAUUCUUGGAUUUAUUGAAGACUAACUACUGCGAAAGCAUUUGCCAAGGAUGUUUUCAUUAAUCAAGAACGAAAGUUAGGGGAUCGAAGACGAUCAGAUACCGUCGUAG
rnacentral:rRNA from 1 species